rnacentral:rRNA from 1 species
UACGUAGGGGGCGAGCGUUGUCCGGAUUCAUUGGGCGUAAAGCGCAUGUAGGCGGCAGCGCAAGUCGGGCGUGAAAUCCCACGGCUCAACCGUGGAAGUGCACUCGAAACUGCGCAGCUAGAGUCCUGGAGAGGAAGGUGGAAUGCUUGGUGUAGAGGUGAAAUUCGUAGAUAUCAAGCGGAACACCGGUGGCGAAGGCGGCCUUCUGGACAGUGACUGACGCUGAGAUGCGAAAGCGUGGGGAGCAAACAGG